UGGUGUCACGUGAAGCUGUGUCAGGGUGUUUACACAGCUUCAUGUAACACCCUGACACAGCUUUACGUAACACCC
rnacentral:pre_miRNA from 1 species